GACGGUUUGGCCGAGUGAUCUAAGGCGUCAAAUUUAGGCUAUAGUCCGAAACUGUUUGAGUUCAAAUCUCAUAGCCGUCA
rnacentral:tRNA from 1 species